rnacentral:piRNA from 1 species
UACUAUUUCUUUAGGUCCCCUGGG